ACUCUCAUUUCUUCUUUUCUCUUCUUUUCUCUUCUUCUUCUUUCUCUUUCCCCUGUUCUUCAUAUGUUGAGAGCUUGAGAAUCAAAAGUGAGGAUUUUGAGAUCGUAUCAAGAGUAGAAAUAUCAUGCAAUGGUUGCUGGUGGUGAUGUUUGUGGUGUGGUAGGUUCUUAGUUAAAAUAAGUGACGAGUUAGAGAAGAUUAAGUUAGGGUUUUCUGGAUUUGAAGUUGGAUCUGUGAAGUUCUGAUGUUUAUAUUGAGUUGAUGGUAAAUGAAGACUGAAUGGGUUGAUGAUGAACUGAUGAUGUAAAGAUGUUCUUGUACUGAAUCGAAAAUAAAAAGGUAAUCUAGGGUUUCUGUUAAUUGAUAGUUGUUUUGAUAUGAAAUCGAUUAUGAAACUGAGAAUUUAAGGAUGGGUUUGUUUAGAUUGAAGUUGUUUUGAUCGUAUGGGGUUCUAGUUUGAGUUUAACUAUAAGAUUGAGAAUUAGGGUUUUACCCUGUUCUUCCCCAAAUUGAUAAAAUUAGGGUUCGUGGAUUUUAAUUAAACUAUUGUUGAUUUGUGUUUGAGAAGAUGAAUUUCAAAUUUGUAAUGAAGAUGUUAAAUGCAUGUUGUGUGUGCUGGUGUUUUAUGGAAAUGGAGCCACAGAUGAUAAACAUGAAGAAGCUAAUGGUGUUGGUGGUAUUGUUUGUGUAAUGAAAUUGGUUAAGCUGUAUUUGAUUGUGGUUAACUGAAUAAGAGAAUUGUGUUAGUGCAGUUGAGUUGGGAUUGAGUUACAGUUGUGGAUAAUGGUGUUAUGAUCAAGAACAAUGGUCGUGCGGUAUUGUGUUCAAUUGCAGUUGCGGAUUAGAAGUAAUGGUAACUGGAGAUGGUGUGUUGUUUGUGAAGAUAAAGUGAAAUGGGUUUGAAUUGAGCUGAACUAGUAACAUUGUUGGUGGUAGUGAGUAUGAUCUCAACUGAAAUGCAGAUGGAGCCUUAGAGUUAUAGUAUUUUAAUGGUGGCGCUACUGAUGGAAGGAUGAGGGCAGAAUGUAACCUCAAAUGUUGAUGUAGAUUGUGUUUGUAUAUAUAAUGAAUCUGAAUUUGUUGAAGUUCGGUUUGAGUCAGGGCGUGUAAAUGGGAGUUCGAUACCAGUAUGUGGAUGAUGGCAGACAAGAGUGUGUAUUGGAAAGGUGCUAGAGGAGAACAAGGAUGUUAGAAACCUAGAUUUGAGAUGAGAAGAUGUACACAGUGGGGAAUGAAGUAUGGAGUCUGUUUGAGGUUGAGUUGUUAGUUGGACCUGCAGAUGAUUGUGGUUGAGUUUGGUGUUGAUUGCUGUUAGUGUUUGCUGUAAAGCUUGGAACUGCUGAACUGUAGUUAAUCUUUAUUAACAACGAUCGAUCUAAAGAAUGAACUAGUGGACUUUGGAUCUCAAGGUAUGCGAGGCUUGUCAUCAAAAGAGUUUUCAGAGACAAAUCAGAGUUGCGCAGCGAAAGCCACAAGUGUUGACUCUGUUAAUUAGUCAACUUCUGCUAUGUUUAUUAUGUUGUUUAUUGUAUCUGUAAACC